rnacentral:rRNA from 1 species
GAUGAACGCUGGCGGCGUGCCUAAUACAUGCAAGUCGAGCGAACAGACGAGGAGCUUGCUCCUCUGACGUUAGCGGCGGACGGGUGAGUAACACGUGGAUAACCGACCUAUAAGACUGGGAUAACUUCGGGAAACCGGAGCUAAUACCGGAUAAUAUAUUGAACCGCAUGGUUCAAUAGUGAAAGACGGUUUUGCUGUCACUUAUAGAUGGAUCCGCGCCGCAUUAGCUAGUUGGUAAGGUAACGGCUUACCAAGGCAACGAUGCGUAGCCGACCUGAGAGGGUGAUCGGCCACACUGGAACUGAGACACGGUCCAGACUCCUAAGGGAGGCAGCAGUAGGGCAUCUUCCGCAAUGGGCGAAAGCCUGAAGGAGCAACGGCGCGUGAGUGAUGAAGGUCUUCGGAUCGUAAAACUCUGUUAUUAGGGAAGAACAAAUGUGUAAGUAACUAUGCACGUCUUGACGGUACCUAAUCAGAAAGCCACGGCUAACUACGUG